GGAGGCCGAGCGAUUGGAUCGGAAAAAAGACAAAACAAAACUUCAUUUCCUUUUGCACCUGUUUUCCUUCGACUGGAGCUUAGGAAGCUGGAGGAAGGGAUUGAUGAGCAGGAGGGUCUGGGACUAAAGAAAGGGCUUUUCUGGCUGCACCGGUGCGGUUGUGAAUGUCAGAACCUGGGCAGUAGCCCCCGCUGCACGGUGGCCUAUGCCUUGUCUUCCUCGGAAUCCUAUGUUUUUUUUCUCGAUUUAUAGUAAAAUGAGGAAGGGGGAAUAGCAUGCAUUGAAACAGUGUAUAUACAUAUAUAUUCCAACACUCCAUGUUUCUUACUUGCAGUGCUGUUGCAUUUGAAGGUUGCAAAUUUUUAGGGUCCCUGUAUAUGGAGAGAGGCCACAUUUUUUUUAUUCUUCUGAAAUAAUAUUUCAAGACAUGCACCUCCCAACCAUGAAAGAAAUGGAAAGCACUGCAGAGGAGAGGACAAUAUUGGGGACCACCAGGACGGAAAGCUUCUGUACAGCCAAAAUAUUGUAAGUGGGAGCCGAAAAACUGUUGGAAAUACAAGUAUCAAGUAUUUCCUACGUGAAAUGGACAUUAUGUUCAUUAUACACACACAGGUGCAUAUGUGUGCCCAUUCACAGAUUACACACAUACGUGUUUCUCUUCUCUUCUUUGUCUUUGUGGGCUACCUCAUGCCGCGAGAGUGAUCCCACGGUCCUCCCGAGGGGUGCAGGUGCACGUGCUUACUCAGCAGACAGCAGAUCUUGCCCUCUGCAUGCUCAUCUCCGGGCUGCUGCUGCUGCUGCCGCCGCUGAUGAUUCAAGUGCUUCUCCGCUGGCCACGGACCGUCUACCCAUCACCACUGAAGAAACCCCAUCCUCACCUCAGCCAGAGAAAACUCUCAUGCAGCCCAAUUCCCCGCCACUCCCUCUGGAGGUGCCUGCCUUGACCUGGGAGGACGCUCAACUGCUGUCCUGGGUACUGAAGCUCAAGAACGUGGCUUAUCUUUCCUCAUGGUUGUUGCUGGCUGCACCUCCCACAACAAACCGAAUUCCCAGCAGCCACCAUUUCCUGUUCCUCAGCUGCAUCUAUCUACGAGGAGGAUUCCAGACUGAUCUUACAGACACCGUCCUCCCAUCUGGUCUACUUUUCUCUUAGACGCUGGACCUAUUCGCAGGCCGGGGCUAAGAUCAGAUCAUGCCUGGAAUAUGUUAUGAAGGUGGUGCUGCAAGAUCUAACUGAAGAGUAGCUGUUGGUCAGAUGCAUGCACCCCCCUUAG
rnacentral:lncRNA from 12 species